ACGGCGGUAGCUCAGCUGGUAGAGCAGUGGAUUCCAAAUCCACCGGUCGAGGGUUCGAAUCCUUCCCGCCGUG
rnacentral:tRNA from 1 species